rnacentral:rRNA from 1 species
UACGUAGGGUGCAAGCGUUGUCCGGAAUUAUUGGGCGUAAAGAGCUCGUAGGCGGUCUGUCGCGUCGGCUGUGAAAACUCGGGGCUCAACCCCGGUUCUGCUUCCGGUACGGGCAGACUGGAGUACUGCAGGGGGAGACUGGAAUUCCUGGUGUAGCGGUGGAAUGCGCAGAUAUCAGGAGGAACACCGGUGGCGAAGGCGGGUCUCUGGGCAUUAACUGACGCUGAGGAGCGAAAAGCAUGGGGGAGCGAACAGG